ACCGCAGAGUUUGAUGCCGUGAAACAUGACAUAUGAUUUGUAGUGGACAUGUUGUAUGACAUUCAUAUGACUUGUCUGAUGUGUAAAUUUUAUGCAAAAAUAUAUAAUUUGGAGGGGAAAUUUUAUGUUUCUGAGUUAUUUUAAGAGUCCAGAAAUUGGUUUUAGGUGUUUUUUCUAGUUUUCUAACGAAAAAUUGCUCAUUUUUUGCAAUCGGAUGUUAGAGAUAUCUCAUAUGACUUACGUAUAACGUAUCAUAAGACUUUUGUAUGACAUGUCUUACGUAUAUUUUAUGGAUUUUAUCAAUUUUAUGCAAAAAUUUAUGUUUUAGAGAAGAAAUUCUAUUUUUUUGACCUUUGUAUGAGACUUUUUGAUGCGUUUACAUAGUUUUUCUCGUUUUCUGAAAGAAAAUUUGGAAAAAUAAAAAUUAAUUGCAAAAUUAUUGUUUCCGCCAAAUUUCUGCGCGGCGCUAGUGUUUUUGGAAAAAAAUGUGCAAAAAUGGUGGAAUGCUGACGCUGUGAAGAAAAUACACAAUUUUCGGUGGAAAAUGGCAAUGUAAGUAUGUUUUUCCUCUUUUAUCUUGUGCAUAAUAAUUAGUAGAAUGAUUGUGUGGUGGAGGAUAAACUGAUAAUCAAAAAUAUUUUCAUGAAAAUCCUAAUAUUUUUUCUCUUCUUUUCAGGUUAUGUUUUCUCUUCUUGCCGGACUUGAAUCAACACCAAAGUAUUCCGGAAAAUACUAAAUAUCAUGCAACGACAUCAGUUGUGCAUAAUCUUCUGUUGAGGUGAAAAAGGAAGAUGUUGGAGCUGCUGCGGUGCAGCAACCGGAAGCAGCUGUUAAGGAGAAUGGUGUACAAAAGCAGAAAGGUCAAGAGCAAAAGCCGGAGGCAACAGGAGCAGCAAGUUGAGGAAGGUGGAGAACCCAAUAAGGUGAAGGAAGCUGCUCUGGAGGCAAUUGAAACGCCUUCUAUGCCUGAAAAGCAGGAAGAGAAGAAGCCAGAAUCGACUGUUAUUGGUAACGACAAUUGAGGAGAACCUUUAGCAAUUGGGUAUGCAGCAAACAAUUCUGGACAGGCAGAAUUCUCUGAGCACAAUUUUUGUCAACUACUUCAAGGCGACUCUCUACCAUCGUGUAAGAGGUGUCACCUUUCGACGUGUCCUGGCAGAGCAGGGCUUCGACAUGACAAAGUUGCAGAACAUCUGACGGAAGGAGAAACUCGGUGAUAUUAAAGAUGUCAUUGUGGAGCUGCGGGAACUCAAGGAGGAUGACAAGGAGUUAACGGAUCUCCUUGAUUGUCAUUUUGAUCCGGAGUAGCAGCCAAUUAGAUCAGUGGAAGACAAACAAGAGACGCUUCCAGAGCAGACUAACUUCGAGGAUUUUACCGAGGAAGCAAAAAUCGUCAUUAAAAAGGGCAACAAUCAUCAGGGUGGUCGCAAUUAAUGUGGAACCGCAAUUAAUGUGCCGUGCCGGGUGAUAAACACUGAAAGUAACGCGGAAUGACAAAAAAGAUUUAAUGAGCAAAUAUCUGGAAAGCCAGCCACCUAGAUUAGGAAAACUUACGAGAAAGUAAGGAUGUCUGCCUAGACAGAGUCAGCAGCGUAUACUGCAAAAAAAAACCUUCCAAAAGCCAAGGCUGCUCGAGAACGGCGCCCCCCAGUACCCCCCCCAGUGGAGGAGGAGGACGCAGAAUACGUGGAGUACGCUGAGGAGUGUGGAGCCGUGUGGAUAAAUAAAAAAAAAGUGAAAAAAAA